GCACCGCCCUCUCGACUUGGAAGCUGUCUCUCCGCGGGCCGGAGAAGCUCGUCUGUCAGCUCACGCUGGAAACUUGGGAACUAAGAGGAAACAGCUAUGAGCAGAGCAGGAUACCUCUCAUGGGCUUCUGUGACCUUUUACAUCCUGUCAGGAUCUUUCACACACUCUGGGGAUGCAGGCAGAGCCUGUAACAGCAGGUAGCAAAGAAUCACCAGGUUGGAAACUAUAUCCUUCUCCAGCAUUCCAGGAGCAGAGGCUCAAAGCAAUGGUUGGAGAACGGCUGGAGCCUCAGUAUGGGUCACGGCAAGAAGUCAAAGGUGGGGCCGGCAAGGCGGCUCAACCAGUACAGAAGUUUGUCGCGAAGAUCGCUCAUCUAGAUACAACCACUGGGACCUCCCAUGGAAGGUGAGGACAAACACCGGAGCACUGUCCUCUGACCACCACAUGCUUGCUCUGUCACACAAGCACCUCAAGAAUACAUAACUGGCUGGGUUUGGUGGUGCAUACCUUUAAUCCCAGCACUUGGAAGGCAGAGGCAGGCGGAUCUCUGUGAGUUUGAGGCCAGCCAAAACUACACAGUGAGACCCUAUCACAUAAAAAAAAAAUUUAAGGAGUGUUAAAAAUGUUUCUAAAGAAUAUGAACUAUAUUAGUAUUGGAGGCUCCAGCAGUCAUGAUAUUCUGGCGCAGAUAAUCAUGGGAAUGGGUUGGGGUGAGUGCAGUCUUUCUAGUGUUAUAGGUGAUGAAACAAGACAUGAUACAGGAAGUGUGCACAUGCGCACACACCCACCACAACCACCCUAAGAGCUUUUGCUGCCCAGAGAAGUCCACUGGCCAUCACAAGAAUAUGUGAUUAAACUAACUAAACAGCCAUUUAAAAAUUGUAUUUCUUUAAUACUUUAUGUGCUUGAGUACUUUGCCUGCACAUACAUAUGUGCACCACAUACCACGUGACUGGUGCCUGCUGAGAUAAUGUAUUAACGUUUUUGACAAUGUCAUGUAUGUACAUAAUUUUGGUCACUCUCGCCAUUACUGUCUCACAUCUCUCCCCUACUUCCACUGAGCCUCCACAAGCACCUUUUUUGUUUACAUAAAGGAAGGGAGGCUAUUGCCGCAAACAGAAACAACUGGGAAUGUUUGUUUUCCAUGACAAAAGUCAAGCUUGCAAGUGGAAAUGGAAUUCUGGGGAGGCUCAGGCUGCCAUGCUAAACUUCUAUUCAAGCAGCAGGUAGAGACAUAAAGAGAUGUGUCCUUUCAAAGUUACAGAACGAGCUGUGUCAACAUCUAGAUGCAAAGGAGCUCCUAAAGACAACGAGUUAUGCUACAAGUUAAAUAGACCCAAGAUCCCAGUGUUGACAGGAAGGCUCAAGUACAGAGCACAGAAAGUUCAUGACAUCAGGUUCGCUCUGACUUUAAAGAAAUUGUUGGGGUUGGGGUGUAGCUGAACUGGUGGGGUGCUUGUCUAGCAUGCACAAGGCCCAAAGGCAAUCUUUAACAGCAAAUAAAGCAGGUAUGGCAGCACCAGCCUGUAAUGCCAGCACAUAGGACACCUAAGCGAGGGGAUCAGAAAUACAAGUCGCUCUCUGUUACAGAUCAAAUUCGGGACCAGCUCAGAGACAGGAGACCCGGUCUC
ensembl:lincRNA D230017M19Rik RIKEN cDNA D230017M19 gene